CGGCGGACGGGUGAGUAACGCGUAGGAAUCUGCCCAAUAGUGGGGGAUAGCCCGGGGAAACUCGGAUUAAUACCGCAUACGCCCUACGGGGGAAAGCAGGGGAUCUUCGGACCUUGUGCUAUUGGAUGAGCCUGCGUUGGAUUAGCUAGUUGGUGGGGUAAGGGCCCACCAAGGCGACGAUCCAUAGCUGGUCUGAGAGGAUGAUCAGCCACACUGGAACUGAGACACGGUCCAG
rnacentral:rRNA from 1 species